UGUUUAUCAUCUUUCAAUAAACAAAAUUUGUAAUUUUAUUCUUUUUAUAAUUUCGUGGAUUCCAAAUUCGUGUUCUUAAAAUUUUUGCUUGAAUUCCUUGUUUCAUAUUGCAUUAGAUGGAAAAGUGAUUGAAAUUGCUAUCCUUUGUAGCACUUUUGAGUGGAAUAAUAUAUUUCAGCAUGCAAACAUGUUGGCAAAAUAUGGGUGUAAAUGAGCAAGGCCUAGUUGAGCUGUCUUUAGGUUGUCCAAGCUUUAUUCUUCGAGCCAGAGUGGGGGCUCAAUUCAGCAAUACAGGAUGCCCCUGCAUAACUUCCCGAAGUAUUUCCCAUACAAUUGGUUCUUUUUCCCCAAUUUUACUCUUAGCAACUCCCCGAAAAUACUGUGACGUGCUCGAAAAUGGUCGAAGUAGUUGAACAGGAGGAUCACUAUGACUAGCUUGAGGGUAAUGUAAUUAUCUGUGAGGCAAACAAAUGGAGUCCUGAACUAGCUGCUGCUAUACAUACGUAUCUGUAGAAAUUCAAAACUAAUCCUGGUGCUUGCAACAGGUCACUUGCUAUAUCUUUGCUAGCUACUGUGGAUGUAUUUUGAAAGGCUUGGUUCCAUUUCAUUAGAUGCAGUGUUAGAUUUAAAAUAGUACAGAAAAUGAUUCAUGCAGUAAUUCCUUUUUUAAAUGGGAAUAAGGCGUAGUUUGUUCUUUGAUUUUGUUGUAUUGACAUUAGUUGUUACAGAUAAACUAAACCUUUUUGUAAGAAUGUUUAGGAGUUGUUUAUAAAUGGUUUAUAUAAUAAAUAGAUAGAAAUGAAUAAGUGAGUAGUACUUGUGGGUCUCACGAAAUAUGUGAAUAAAAAUACAUACAGUAAGUCCUUUUUUAAAUGGGAAUAAGGCGUAGCUUGUUCUUUGAUUUUGUUGUAUGGACAUUAGUUGUUACAGAUAAACUAAAUCUUUUUGUAAGAAUGUUUAAGAGUUGUUUAUAAAUAGUUUGUAUAAUAAAUAGAUAGAAAUGAACAAGUGAGUAGUACUUGUGGGUCUCACGAAAUAUGUGAAUGAAAAUAGUUUGACUAAUUAUAAGUAGUUAAUAAACAAUAGCUAAAUAUGGGCUAAGUUAAAGAAAAACUGUACAAAAUAGAGUACGACGGGCACUCUGACUGGUCAAAGUCUUGUGACCAAAAAUGCACUUUACUCUGUUUUGAUUAUUGAGACAUUUAUUUCAGCUAAAGCUCACCGCUUAAAAUUUUGGCACCGAUUUUCUAACCAGUGUUUUCUUUUUUACCAAUGGCUUGAUAAUCUGAUAUGCUCAUUUGAAUUGCAGAGAAAGAUGGAGAAAUCAAAGACAGGCAUCUUCUCUGUGUACCUAAAGCUGUAUCCGGGUAAAUAUGAGAUCAAGUUUAUUGUUGAUGGCAUAUGGAAAGUUGAUCCUCUACGCCCCAUUGUCCACAAUAAUGGCUAUGAAAAUAACCUUCUGAUUAUCACAUGAAGGCACAAAAUUAUGCAGGCAGAAGGAUGAUCAUUUUACAAACCUUUAGUUUGCAUCAUGUAUUUUACUAAUUAUAAUUCUUUUGACAUCACCCUAUUUCUGUUCUUUGUAUAGUGUAUAUUGGCCGUGAUGGAUCAAUUGUUAUUCUUAGACCAAAUUCUCAUUUGGUCUGUCUGUUACUUAUUUUUGUUGGUAUGGAUGGGUCUGUUGUGGUUGGUUCUCUCUUUUGUACAUGUUUUUGUUUAUUGAAAUGAAAUACAAGCUUAGGAGGGGGCUUGAUCUUA